UAGGGAAUUUUGGGCAAUGGGCGAAAGCCUGACCCAGCAACGCCGCGUGUGGGAUGAAGGCCCUCGGGUCGUAAACCACUGUCAGGAGGAAAGAAAAGUCGGCCGGAUAAUACUCGGUCGACCUGACGGUACCUCCAAAGGAAGCACCGGCUAACUCCGUGCCAGCAGCCGCGGUAAUACGGAGGGUGCAAGCGUUGUUCGGAAUUACUGGGCGUAAAGCGCGUGUAGGUGGUCGAGUAAGUCGAAUGUGAAAGCCCCGGGCUCAACCCGGGAAGUGCAUCCGAAACUGCUCGACUAGAGUCCCGGAGAGGAAGGCAGAAUUCCCAAUGUAGGGGUGAAAUCCGUAGAUAUUAGGAAGAACACCAGUGGCGAAGGCGGCCAACUGGCUCGAUACUGACGCUGAGGUGCGAAAGCGUGGGGAGCAAACAGGAUUAGAUACCCCCGUAGUCCCUGAGCGGGCUGGCAAGGCGCAU
rnacentral:rRNA from 1 species